CGUUCUCUCUUUUCACUCUCCUUCGCGCUGCCCUAGAAAGCAUCUCAGCCGUUCUCUCUCUUUCUCUGUUCAUCCGCCGGCUUCUCCUCUAUUGGAGGAAAACCCUAGAGCCAUGUCUGGAGCUUAUGGAUCCGGCGGCGGCGGCGGUGGCGGUGGUGGUGGUGGUGGUUAUGGUGGAAAUCCCCGAGGUGGUGGCGGUGGACAUGGUGGUGGUGGUGGUGGUGGAGGGUAUCAUGGUGGUGAUCGUGGUCACAGAGGCGGUGGUGGGCAGUGGGGUGGCGGUCGUGGAGGCGGCGGCGGACGAGAAGGCGAUUGGCUUUGCCCUGAACCUAGUUGCGGUAAUGUGAACUUUGCGAGGAGGACGGAGUGUAACAAGUGCGGCGCUCCAAACCCUGGUGGUGGAACUGGUGGCUCGUAUAACAGAGGAGGUGGACGCGGUGGUGGCGGGCGUGAUGGUGGUCACAGUCGCGGGGAUGGUGGUUAUAAUCGUGGUGGUGGAGGUGAUUAUAAUCGUGGUGGAAGUGAGUAUAAUAGCAGCAGUGGCGGUGGCGGCAGCGGUGGCGGUGGUGGUGGUUAUAAUCGGGGCGGUGGAGACUUUAACAGUGGUGGUGGUUAUAAUCGGGGUGGCGGAGACUAUAACAGUGGUGGCAGUGGUGGUAAUCGAGGAGGGAGAAGUGGAAAUUAUGGUGGGAGAGGAGGGUCCUACAAUGAUAACCAGGGGAGGGGUGAUGAUGGCUAUGGCCAAGUUCCUCCAUCUGCUCCGGGGCCUUAUGGUGGUCCUCCCGGUGGGAAUUAUCCUCCAGCUCCUAACUCUUAUGGUGGGAACAAUGCUUAUGGUAUGGAGGCAGUUCCACCACCAACUGGCUAUGGCGGACCGAGUUCUCUUCCACCGAGUUAUGGUGCCCCUCCCUCUAAUACUUAUGGUGGUGAUUCCACUGUGGGUCGUGGAGGGCCGCCACCGCCUAGCUAUGAUGGAGGAUAUGGGGGUCGGCCAAGGUCUGGACGUGAUGGUGGUGGUGGUGGUGGUGGUGGUGGGUACAGUGAUCGGUCAACUGACAUUUCUGAAAAGGUGAAACAGUGUGAUGAUAAUUGCGAUGAUACAUGUGAUAAUUCUCGGAUCUACAUUUCUAAUCUGCCUCCAGAUGUGACUAUUGAUGAGCUGAGGGAUCUCUUUGGCGGGAUUGGGCAGGUUGGAAGAAUCAAACAGAAGCGUGGUUACAAGGACCAAUGGCCAUGGAACAUAAAAAUAUACACGGAUGAACAAGGAAAUAAUAAAGGAGAUGCAGUUUUGUCCUAUGAAGAUCCUUCUGCAGCUCAUUCUGCUGGAGGAUUUUACAAUAACUAUGAUCUGAGGGGCUACAAGAUUAGUGUGGCAAUGGCUGAGAAAUCUGCACCUAAACCUCCACCUGCAUUUGGACAUGGUAGAGGUGGUAGAGGAGGUUAUGGUGGUGGUGGAGAUCGGCGCAGGGACAACUACCGGGAUGGUGGGGGUUCUGGUCCUGAUAGGCACCAGCACGGUGGACCACGCUCACGGCCAUAUUAAAGAUGCAUGGCUAUGUUUUACAGCAACUAUAAAUCUCUAUGAGAAAUUUUCUGUUCCUAAUCACCAAGUUGUAGGCCAAAAAUGGUGCCUUAAGGUAGGUUGUCCAUGACCCUCUUUUAGCAAAUCCUCAUUUCUUUCAUAGAAAAUGUUGGAUAUCAGGGAGGUUUGUCUUAUUUCUUAGACCUAAAAGUUUAUUUGUAUUGUGUGGAUGUCUUUUUUUUUGUGUUUUUAGAGACAAGUGGAUAUGAUCUCCAAAUUGCUGUGAUAGGUUUGAGAUGAGUUUUUCAGCAACAAAGCAUGGAUCCGGAGACCAUGGAUUUUAUAUCAUUUUGCCAAGCCAAGUUCAUCAUCAUUCAUGGCAUUGUGUUAAUGCAUGCUUUUGACGUUUUUUAUAAUAGUCUUUCAAAAUCUUCAUUGUAAAUAAACAUGUUAGCGUAGAAACUGGGUUAAUCUUUAAGGAGGCAGCGUCAAGGCAAAGGAUGAGCUGGCCCUUAUGAUCACAAAGAUGAAUCUUUGUACUGGCUAGAGCCCAAGGAAAUCGUAUUCAGGGAGCUACUCCAAUCAAACCGUCACAAUCAUUGACAAACUAAACUGAUUGAAUUCAUCAUUACCAAGCUUGAAAACUCAUUUAUUUUUCCAUUUGAAAAGAACACCAAUCUUUCA